rnacentral:lncRNA from 1 species
CAAAUCCCCAUUACUUGUGGAUACAGUCGCCAUGGUGAACGCGUCGUCGAGUACACUAGUCAAAAGCCAAGAAGAGGGUAGUUGGUGAAUAGCCCACCCUGACGACACAAAACAAGAAGUCUAAGAACAUUAUGAGACGAUUGUGUCAAGGAAAUCCUAGAAGACUACAGGAAGAUUCCACCAAAACACAAACGCAGAGAUCCCAAAGAUGACAACGACAUUGACUGGACAAAUUUCAUAUAGUUGCAUCUUGUGCAGAAAAUACUGCCACUCAAGAGAAAUUGAAUUACUUCUUAAAGGUCCUUCAACUCAAGAUCGUAAAGGAAAGCAAAUUGGGAAAUUGCAGCAUCCCUCAGUCCCUAAAAAAAAAAAGAAACUUUCCUAGAGCUAUGAAACACUCAUAACUUUGUAUUGGCCUGGUGCCAUGAGCUACUGCAAAAGCUUUACAAGAGCUCACUCAAACAUAGCGCUCAUUACUACAAGCAACAUGUACCACAGAUACUAAUUCCGUCACCGUCACUUAAUCUUCGUUCCAUCUCACCUACACUACCCGAACACGACAUGAAUCAAACAGAAACACAGUAACAUAGUCUCCCUACCUGACAAGUUAAGCGAUAAAAGUCUUCCCGCUCAGGAAAGCACCACAAACUUACGACAGGCAAUAGCGUGACAAUCACUGGCUAACCGACCCAAUUCAUCAAGCAAUUCCACAGAUUUCAUUGCCCGGAAACCAAAAAUACUACGUACAAAAAUUAUUACAAUUUUGUUUUUAAUCUAUUUGUUUUCCCUUUUAAAGUUUCAGUCCGUUUGAUUUUUAAAGACACAGAUUUUGGCCGUCUUCCUUCAAUGAGCUAUUGCGUAGCCCUAAUAAAAACAUUGUAACUUUCUUUUUUUAUACGUUUCUCUUGUU